CCCUUAGAUGUCCUGGGCCGCACGCGUGCUACACUGAUACGUGCAACAAGUAUUUUUCCUGGCUCGGAAGAGUUCGGGUAAUCUUGAUAAUGCGUAUCGUGCUAGGGAUAGAUCUUUGAAAUUAUGGAUCUUGAACGAGGAAUUCCUAGUAAGCAUAAGUCAUCAGCUUGUGCUGAUUACGUCCCUGCCCUUUGUACACACCGCCCGUCGCUGCUACCGAUUUUGAGUGAUCCGGUGAACCUUCUGGACUGUAUCGGGGCUUGACUCCGGCGUGGGAAAUUAAGUAAACCUUAUCACUUAGAGGAAGCAGAANUCGUANCA
rnacentral:rRNA from 1 species